rnacentral:pre_miRNA from 1 species
GAACUACUCCAUCCGUUCCAUAAUUCUUGUCGAAAUAUUACAUGUAUCUAAACAUACUUUAGUAAUAUAUACAUCCAUUUUUAGGCAAUUUGAGACAAGAAUUAUGGAACGGAGGUAGUAUUAA